rnacentral:rRNA from 1 species
GAUGAACGCUAGCGGCAGGCCUAAUACAUGCAAGUCGAACGGGUGGUCGCAAGACCACUAGUGGCGCACGGGUGCGUAACGCGUAACCAACCUGCCCCGAUCUGGGGGAUAGCCCGCCGAAAGGCGGAUUAAUACCGCAUAUACCCGCAGCCUGGCAUCAGGCAACGGGGAAAGAUUUAUUGGAUCGGGUUGGGGUUGCGUGACAUUAGCUAGUUGGCGGGGUAAGGGCCCACCAAGGCGACGAUGUCUAGGGGACCUGAGAGGGUGAUCCCCCACACUGGCACUGAGAUACGGGCCAGACUCCUACGGGAGGCAGCAGUAGGGAAUAUUGGGCCAUGGGCGAGAGCCUGACACAGCCAUGCAGCGUGCCGGAUGAAGGCCUUCUGGGUUGUAGACGGCUUUUCUCAGGGAAGAAAAAGACCUUGCGAGGUACACUGACGGUACCUGAGGAAUAAGCACCGGCUAACUCCGUG